AUUUUUUUUUUUUUAAAUUUCAGAUCUGCCGACAACAAUUCGUCUCUCUACACUCUCAGCCUAUUUUGGAAGAUCUUUCAAAGUUUUUGGUCUCACAGUUUGCCGUCCGAGCGAGUGGUGCCGAUGCUGUUGACGAUGACACGCCCAAAGGACUUGCAAGACACAGAUUGAAUCAAAUUAUAAGUGAAGUGCCUAGACGCGGUAUGUUUGAUUUGCGCCUUGUUCUCGACUCGGUCUACUUCUUCUUCUUUUCCUAAACUAUAAAGGAUUAUCGGACGUGUUCGUUGGACAAAAAGUAACAACAGUUAGGAUGGUUGUAAAAUCUGUGCAUUCGUAUAAUUAGUAUUGUCUAGUCUUUUCCACAAUAAACCCGACGUGGUAGUUCCUAAUUUUUUCAUUGUUUAUAAGGAGAUAAUCAACAAGAUAAACAUCAAUCGCCUACA